rnacentral:piRNA from 1 species
UUACUAAACUGAGAAACAUUU